AGGAUACUCUCUUUACUGGGCUCUUAUCUCUGGCAGGGCAGCUCAGAUUAUUUCCUGAACAGUGGAGACAAGAUUAGAUUCUUUUUUGAGAAGGGUGUUUUGGAUGAGAAAGGUAACUUUCUCAUUCCAAAGGAGAAAUCUAUCAGCAAGAUUGGCCAUGGUAUGUUUAAGCAGUGGUGGUUUGGGGGAGGGGG